GGGCGGUCGGCCCUAGACGCCUGAGCGGAUAGGAACCUCCCUGGGAGUGAGAGCCCCCAAUCCCAGAAAGACACGGCUCCCUACACGGGGUACGUGUAAGGAUGGGAUUGGGCGAGACUCUUUGCUCCAUACAGGUGGCAGGUUUCGCCCUCGGGGCGGAUUGGGGUGGCCACCCGGAAGACAGACCCUAUAUAGACCAACGCCCCAGCUUGCUCGGGGGAUUCCUCCGCAAUUAAUAAAACAUAUGCCUCCCGAAGCAGUGUCUGACUGAGUCCCUGCCCGCCGUCCCCCGGGGAGGGAAUCCGGAGACGUCCGAAGCGGAACCCACCGAGAGGAGCUCGCUCGGGGUCCGGCAAUAGAACCGGACAGCUGGCGCCCGAACAGGGACCUCCGUCCCCGCCGAGCGAGAUCGUGGUCCCCAGUGGCUACCUACGAAAAACACAAGAUUGUGCACCGACGAACCGACGAAGAAGGAGACACCGUCAAAAGAGGAGGCGUCGGAAGAACCGCACGGAAAAGAAAAGGAGAAUGGAUAAGUUGAUGUUGCUCCUGGGGCUGCUUGGCAGCCUCCAGGGCAUCUGGUGUGGGGACCCGAGUUUAACACAACAUCGAAAACUGAGGUGUACUUCAUGGAUGGAUUCCCCGGAC